rnacentral:lncRNA from 1 species
GUUCAUGCCAUUCUCCUGCCUCAGCCUCCAGAGUAGCUGGGACUACAGGGGAGAAAGGGAUGAGGAUGUUGGAUAAGCAGCUCAGCAUGUUCCCCAACAUGUAAGGGAAUCAGGUCGAGUUCUACACUCUCCUUCUUGGUACACAUCCUCAGAAUGCAGGAAGUGCCUGUGCUUGCUGUGAGUCUUUGUGGACAGAGGCAGGAUCAUGCUGGCUAGAAUCUAGUGGACAAGGGCAGCACAUUCCCCCUGUUCCCAGGUGGGUCCAGAGAUGUCGCCUGGGAGCCAGGGCCUGGAGUUCUGUUACUGUGGCUGAGCUUGCACCCAAGCUACAAGAUGACAUCCUACUCUUCCCUCACCUUUCUACAAGUAGAGGAGUCUCUUCUCAUGGCCACCAUUGUCCCAGGAUGUGAGGUCUGGAACAGCUGCAGCCAUUUUGCCACCAUGGGAAACCUGGGACAUCUGAACUGACUCCAUGAAGCCUGAAGAGAAAGCUAAUAAGAAGGCAGAGAGAAGAGGAAGAGUCUUGGUCUUUGGAAAUAUCUUUUGGAGCUGCUGGAUCAAGUAUCACUUGAAGUAUUAUUGAAUUUAUUCCCCGAAGGAGAGCGGCUAAGAGUAUUGCCCAGCCACAGGCUCUCAACCACCAACCCGAGCCUCAGAUUCUCCUCACACAGCCACAGCUGUACCACAUGGCCCACGUGAAAUCUGAAUCCACAUGAAAACAAUGGCAACAAGAAAAAGGUGUAAACUUUCCAGAACAGGCCCAGAAUUUGAAAAUGUGAUAAAGAGGUUAUUGUGCGCCCGAACUUUUCACACAAGAAUUGGAGGAGAUUUAACACAUGGAAUAAUAAACAGAGGAAGGCGGGCUAAUGCAGAGCAGAUGGGCCUGCAGGGCAGUGCUCAGCAUUUCAACAUCUUUCCCCUGGACCUUUGGACCCAAGGUGAUUGCAUGCUGGUGUCUUUAGCUAAAAAUAAAGUUAAUGUCUUUGGGGCAAUCAUAAAUAUGGCUGCUUCAGUUUCUGGGGUGAUUGGUGGUCUAAAGUUUUCAAGAACCUACUAUGUGAAAGGCAUUUGACAUUCACUAAUUUAAUCCCAACUACUACUCCAUUUUGAAGGAAAAAAAUGAAGGCUCUGAAAGUGUAAAUCGCUUACUGAAGGGCACACGGCCAGGAUGACAGCGGAGCCAGGAUCACCCCAGGUCUGUCUCAUUGCAUAUGUCAUGGCUCUGCAAACUGGGGCAAUAGGUGAGCAGGGAGAAGAGUCAUGGCCAAAUAAAAUUGAGACAUACCGAUACACACACACACACACACACACACACACACACAUUUACACGGUAACAGCCUUAUUAAGGUACAACUAAUGUACAAUAAGGUGUACAUAUUUAAAGGAUACUAUUUGAUAAGUUUUGACAUAUGUCUGUACCUGGGAAACCAUCACUACAAUCAUGAUGGUGAGCAUAUCUAAUACUCUCAAAAGUUUCCUCUUGCCUUUUGUAAUUCCAUUCUGCCAUCCCACCUGUCCCUCCCACUCCUGAUCCCAGGCAACCACUGAUCUGCUUUCUGUCACUAUAGAUUAGUUACAUUUUCUAGAAUUUUAUAUAAAUGAAAUAAUACAAUAUGUACUAUUUUUCUGUGUUUCUUUCACUCAGCAAAAUUAUUUUGAGAUUCAUUCAUGUUAUUGCUUGUUUAUUCCUUUAUAUUGUUGAGUAGUUAUUCCAUUGUAUGAAUAUGCCACAAUUUGUUUAUCUGUUCAUCUACAUAUGGACAUCUAUAGAUGUUUGCACUUUUGGGCUAUUAAAAAUCAAGUUGAUGUGAAUGUUUGUA